CUACGGGAGGCAGCAGUGAGGAAUUUUGCGCAAUGGGGGAAACCCUGACGCAGCAACGCCGCGUGAGUGAUGAAGGCCUUCGGGUCGUAAAACUCUGUCAAGUGGGAAGAACCUAUGUAAGGUUAAUACCCUUAUGUACUGACGGUACCACUGAAGGAAGCACCGGCUAACUCCGUGCCAGCAGCCGCGGUAAUACGGAGGGUGCAAGCGUUAUUCGGAAUUAUUGGGCGUAAAGGGCGCGCAGGCGGUUUUGUAAGUCAGAUGUGAAAGCCCGGGGCUUAACCUCGGAAGUGCAUUUGAUACUGCAAGACUUGAGUAUGGGAGGGGGAAGUGGAAUUCCUGGUGUAGAGGUGAAAUUCGUAGAUAUCAGGAGGAACACCAGUGGCGAAGGCGACUUCCUGGACCAAUACUGACGCUGAGGCGCGAAGGCGUGGGGAGCAAACAGGAUUAGAUACCCGUGUAGUC
rnacentral:rRNA from 1 species